rnacentral:rRNA from 1 species
AUGGGGUGCUCCUUCUCCGGGCUGAACGCGCUGUACGACACCGUCGGCGGAGGCGGCGGCGACAUCUGGGUCAACGACUACCGCUUCCGCGUGCUCCGCAGGCUCGGCGACGCUGGCCCCGCGGGCUCCUCCGUCUUCCUCGUCAAGGAGGUCGUCGCCGCCGCCGCGGCCUCCGACGGCACCGCCGGAGUGGGACCCGGCGCCGCGGGCCUCGCCAAGAAGAAGGGCGUCGACCCGUCACACAUCUCAGCUGACGGGACAUAUGCUUUGAAGAAAGUUCUUAUUCAGAACGACCAACACUUGGAGCUAGUUCGGCAGGAGAUCCGAGUGUCCUCUCAAUUCAGCCAUCCAAAUUUACUUCCACUUCUUGAAAAUGCCAUUAUUGCAGUCAAGGGUGUGCAAGAUGGGUCGCAGAACCAUGAGGCUUACUUGUUGUUCCCAGUUCACUUAGAUGGAACCUUGCAGGAUGUAACUAAAUCCAUGCAAGAAAAGAAGGAGUACCUUUCAACAAUCACCAUUCUCCAGAUAUUUCGCCAGCUAUGUGCAGGACUGAAGCAUAUGCACAGUUUUGAGCCACCAUAUGCUCACAAUGGAGUUAAACCAGACAAUGUCCUCAUAACUCAGAGGAAGGAACAGCCUCAUCUUGCUAUCUUGAUGGACUUUGAAAGUGCUCGCCCAGCAAGAAGAGCUAUUAGAUCACAAGCAGAAGCUUUGCAGCUGCAGGAAUGGGCUUCAGAGCACUGCUCUGCACAUUUCCGGGCACCUGAAUUAUGGGAGUGCCCACCCCAUGCCGAUAUUGAUGAGAGGACAGAUGUAUGGUCUUUGGGAUGCACCCUUUAUGCUAUGAUGUAUGGAAAGUCACCAUUUGAUUAUGAGCUCGAUGAAUCUGCUGGCGAAAGCUUAGUAACAGUCAUUAAAAGUGCACAGGUGAAGUGGCCUACUGAGACGGGUUCGUCCUAUCCUGAUACUCUCCGCCAGUUUGUAACCUGGAUGCUGCAGCCACAUCCUGCAGUUCGUCCCAAUAUUGAUGAUAUUAUCAUCCACGUUGAUAAACUCAUUGCGAAGCACUCGACUUGA